GUGUUUUGAAUUGCGUUUUAAAAUUGCCCAGCUGGAGACAAGUCUUGAUUAGAGCUGGAACAAUAGCUCUAUUUUAUUAAUAAUGGGAAGGAUUUACAAUCCUACAGCACCUUCCUUGGAAGGCUUUCAAAAUCAUUUGCAAACACUCACAAAUUUUAAGAUUUCACAGCCCUCAGCUGUGAGGUGGGGAAAUAGAGGAUUGUUUGUCUGACCCCUCUCCGCAGCAGAUACCUCCUUUGUAAGUGUUGUAGUUGCGUAGGGAUGUCGGAGCCAGCCGGGCAGUGGGAUCUGGCCUGGGUUGUGUAAGCGUGUGUCGCACACGGGCCACAGAAACCCACAAUGUUUCUGUGGUUACCGCCGCCUGGAGAAGCACAAGCAGGUCCCAGGGCUUCCCCUUCCCACUGCUUGCUAGUUCACAAAAAGCAAAGGCUGGUGCUUCUGGAAAAAACUCUGCCUCGUGGCCUUUAAAAAAAAAAUAAAGAAAAACUGCUGCGGAUUAGUCAUCCUUAUUUUUAAAGGAAGCCGUGUUUGCCAGCCCUAUCUGUGUAAUGCGUGUGUGUGUGAGAUAUUCACCAUUAGCUGUAUUUGCGAGGGCUGGUAACGUGCUCUGGUCACUGUGCUUUGGAGCAGUGCCACCGAGGCUCCCUCGAGCUGCUGCUGGCAGGUGGAAAAAAACUGACAAUCCAGCUUUUUGUAACCUUUCCUUCCAUUUUUCUUUUUCAGUGUGUUGGCAGGUGUGGAAAUGUGGAAAUUCGUAGGAACGCUAAGCAAGGACGGAUGACCUGUCUUCUGGAGGCACUUCCAACUCCAGAGAAGAAACCCUGAUGAAAAAGAAAUUUAUAUUUCUUUUUCUUGCCUGUGGUAGCUUUUACUCUGAGCUGCACUGCCUCUUGCGAAGGGCUGACGCCGGAGGGAGCGUUGCGAUGGACCUAAAUUGUGUUGGUGAAGAUCAGAGUCCCCUUGAACUUGCUCCUGUGAGAUGCUGCUGGUUUAUUACUCGAUUCCUCAAAGCCCUGCUCGCUCACCGGGCAGAAGGAAAACACUUCCUUACUGGCUGCAGUUCCUUUUCUUGUGUGGCAAAAGGUAAUAAAAAGCACCUGGCGCUGGGCUCUCCUCGGUCACACGUGACUUCGAGGCGCGGAGCCCUCGAAGGCGCGCGAGGAGUGUUAGGUACCAGCUCCUUCUCGUUAGCCUCCCUUAAUGAGAAUAUUGGCAGGGGUGUUGGGUGGAUGCCUCUGGCUGACCAGCGGAGAGGCCCUGCCCUGCUAAACUGGAGCAACACCUUAUGA
rnacentral:lncRNA from 1 species